rnacentral:rRNA from 1 species
CAGUAGCCGCGGGAAAACGGAGGGUGCAAGCGUUAAUCGGAAUUACUGGGCGUAAAGCGCACGCAGGCGGUCUGACAAGUCAGAUGUGAAAUCCCCGGGCUUAACCUGGGAACUGCAUUUGAAACUGUCAGGCUGGAGUCUUGUAGAGGGGGGUAGAAUUCCAGGUGUAGCGGUGAAAUGCGUAGAGAUCUGGAGGAAUACCGGUGGCGAAGGCGGCCCCCUGGACAAAGACUGACGCUCAGGUGCGAAAGCGUGGGGAGCAAACAGGAUUAGAUACCCGGGUAGUCCCUGUCUCUUAACA